GCAGCAAGAAGAUGGACAUCUGCAAAUAAGGAAGUGGGCCCCCUGAUCUGCUGGCACUUUGAUCUCGAACUUCCCAGCCUCUAGAACACUCUGUUGCCCUGGAUUUAAAGCCGUCCUUUUUCACCCAAGAAAGCACUCUGACCUGUGAGGACCACAUUUCCACUGUCCAGAGCACGGUUGGUCCCCACCCUGCCCUGGCGAAAGAAUGUUUAUGUGUCCGGACCAGUGAACAUCUGGAAGAUCACCAUCUCCAACCAAUCUAGAAGUUAAAAAUGUAGCAC